AAUACCCAAAAUGCACAAAUUCGGUUUUGUAAAAUAAUGAGUGAAAUGGAUUAUUUUAAACCGAUUAUAUUGAUCCAAGAGAUGAUUUAAGAUAAUGGAUGGUGUUGAUAUGAACUCCGUAUUAUCUCCAUAAUUGUUCUUACAUCUCUUGGCAACUUGUUUGCUCAUGAUAUAUUACCAUCCACCAUUGUUGGAACAAAAACAAGCUUAAAGAUUCAAUUUCGGGUUUACAAAAAUUGAGUGAAAUGGAUUUGUUUGAGCCAAGAAAAUCGAUCCUAGAGAUGAAUGAAGCUAAUAUAUGAUGUAGAUUGGAUAAAAAAUGGGCUAAAGGAAGCUUGAAAAUAUAGAGAGAGAAACGGGUAGUUAGGUUUUUGAUUUUGGGUUUUAUGUGGAGAGUUGAUGAAAUGAAGUUUUGAGAACGAAAAUUGAAGGAGUAAUGGAUGAAUAAUGAGUUGUAUGAUUGAUU
rnacentral:lncRNA from 1 species